rnacentral:rRNA from 1 species
CAGUCGCCGCGGUAAUACGAACCGUGCGAACGUUAUUCGGAAUUACUGGGCUUAAAGCGCGUGUAGGCGGGCCGCCACGUCGGUUGCUGAAAUCCCCCGGCUCAACCGGGGAAGUGGCAUCGAUACGAGCGGCCUUGAGGGGGGUAGGGGGAUCUGGAACUUCCGGUGGAGCGGUGAAAUGCGUUGAGAUCGGAAGGAACGCCCGUGGCGAAAGCAAGGUCCUGGACCCUUUCUGACGCUGAGACGCGAAAGCCAGGGGAGCGAACGGGAUUAGAUACCCCCGUAGUCCCUGUCUCUUAUU